UUGGUUUUUAUACGACCGCAAAAAAUUUUUGUGGUCGUAUAUUGGUAUGACGUUGGCGUCGUCGUCGUCCGGCGUCGUCGUCGUCCGAAGACACAUUGGUUUUCGCACUCUAACUUAAGUUUAAGUGAAUGGAUCUCUAUGAAAUUUUACCAUAAGGUUCAAUACCACAAAAGGAAGGUUGGGAUUGAUUUUGGGGGUUAUGUUACCAACAGUUGAGGAAAAAGGGGCCAAAAAGGGGCCAAAAAUAAGCAUUUUUGUAACUUCCAGACAUAACUUGUGUGUUAGUGUAUGGAUCUCUCUGACAUUGUACCACAAGGUUCCUUAUCACAAAAGGAAUGCUGGGAUUGAUUUUGGGGGUAAUUGCCUCAAAAUUUUAGGAAUUAGGGGCCAAAAAAGGGGCAAAAAAACAAGCAUUUUUCUAGUUUCAUGACAAUAACUUGUGUGUAAGUGUAUGGAUCUUUCUGAAAUUGUACUACAAGGUUCCAUAUCACAAAGGGAAAGCUGGAAUUGUGUUUGGGGGUAAUUGCCGAAACGUUAAGGAAUUUGGGGCCAAAAAGGGGCCAAAAAUAAGCAUUUUUCUAGUUUCCAGACAAUAACUUGUGUUCAAGUGUAUGUAUCUCUCUGAAAUUGUACUGCAAGGUACCAUACCACAAAGGGAAGGCUGGGAUUGAUGAUGGGGGUAAUUGCCUCAAUAUUUUAUGAAUUAGGGGCCAAAAAGGGGCAAAAAACAAGCAUUUUUCUAGUUACAGGACAAUAACUUGUGUGUAAGUGUAUGGAUCUUUAUGAAAUUGUACUACAAGGUUCCAUAUCACAAAAGGAAAGCUGGGUUUGAGUUUGGGGGUAAUUGCCCUUAACGUUUAGGAAUUUGGGGCCAAAAAGGGGCCUAAAAACAAGCAUUUUUCUAGUUUCCAGACAGUAACUUGUGUUCAAGUGUAUGGAUCUCUCUGAAAUUGUACUGCAAGGUACCAUAUAUACCACAAAGGGAAGGCUGGGAUUGAGUUUGGGGGUAAUUGCCUCAAAAUUUUAGGAAUUAGGGGCCAAAAAGGGGCAAAAAACAAGCAUUUUUCUAGUUUCAGGACAAUAAGUUGUGUGUAAGUGUAUGGAUCUUUAUGAAAUUGUACUACAAGGUUCCAUAUCACAAAGGGAAAGCUGGAAUUGAGUUUGGGGGUAAAUGCCCAAAACGUUUAGGAAUAAGGGGCCAAAAAGGGGCCAAAAAUAGCAUUUUUCUAGUUUCCAGACAAUAACUUGUGUUCAAGUGUAUGGAUCUCUCUCUGAAAUUGUACUGCAAGGUACCAUACCACAAAGGGAAUGCUGGGAUUGAUUUUGGGGGUAAUUGCCUCAAAAUUUUAGGAAUUAGGGGCCAAAAAGGGGCAAAAAACAAGCAUUUUUCUAGUUUCAGGACAAUAACUUGUGUGUAGGUGUAUGGAUCUUUAUGAAAUUGUACUACAAGGUUCCAUAUCACAAAAGGAAAGCUGGGUUUGAGUUUGGGGGUAAUUGCCCUUAACGUUUAGGAAUUUGGGGCCAAAAAGGGGCCUAAAAACAAGCAUUUUUCUAGUUUCCAGACAAUAUCUUGUGUUCAAGUGUAUGGAUCUCGCUGAAAUUGUACUGCAAGGUACCAUAUAUACCACAAAGGGAAGGCUGGGAUUGAGUUUGGGGGUAAUUGCCUCAAAAUUUUAGGAAUUAGGGGCCAAAAAGGGGCAAAAAACAAGCAUUUUUCUAGUUUCAGGACAAUAACUUGUGUGUAAGUGUAUGGAUCUUUAUGAAAUUGUACUACAAGGUUCCAUAUCACAAAAGGAAAGCUGGGUUUGAGUUUGGGGGUAAUUGCUCUAAACGUUUAGGAAUUUGGGGCCAAAAAGGGCCUAAAAACAAACAUUUUUCUAGUUUCCAGACAAUAACUUGUGUUCAAGUGUAUGGAUCUCUCUGAAAUUGUACUGCAAGGUACCAUACCACAAAGGGAAGGCUGGGAUUGAGUUUGGGGGUGAUGAAUCAUAAGGGGGUUCAAAAAAUUUAGUGGAGGGAUUUUUUUUUUCUUUAAAAUUUUCCAUUUUAAAUUGGUUAUUUCUGAUUUAUAUAUAAAAGCAAAUAAUAAUGAUAUGGUUUGAAUAGGUAAAUUAAAAAUUUUUAAGUUCUUAGACCACAUUCAUUCUGUGUCAGAAACCUAUGCUGUGUCAAAUAUUUAAUCACAAUCCAAAUUCAGUGCUGUAUCAAGCUUGAAUGUUGUGUCCAUACUUGCCCCAACUGUUCAGGGUUCGACCUCUGUGGUUGUAUCAAGCUGCGCCCCAGCGGAGCAUUUUAUUAA